GGUUUGAUUCUGGCUCAGAUUGAACGCUGGCGGGAUGCUUUACACAUGCAAGUCGAACGGCAGCACGGACUUCGGUCUGGUGCGAGUGGCGAACGGGUGAGUAAUGUAUCGGAACGUGCCUAGUAGCGGGGGAUAACUACGCGAAAGCGUAGCUAAUACCGCAUACGGGCCUCUUCGGGGGAAAGCGGGGACCUUCGGGCCUCGCACUAUUAGAGCGGCCGAGUUAUCGGAUUAGCUAGUUGGUGGGGUAAUGGCUCACCAAGGGCGACGAUCCUGUAGCUGGUUUGAGAGAGGAUGACCAGCCACACUGGGACUGGAGAUACGUAGCCCAGACUACGGGAGGCAGCAGUGGGCAAAUUGGACAAUGUGGGGGAAACCCUGAUCCAGCCAUCCGCGGUGUGCGAUGAAGGCCUUCGGGUUGUGGAAGCAUCUUGGCAGGAAAAGAAACGGCACGGCAUAAUACCCCGUGCAACUGGACGGUACCUGCAGAAUAAGCACCGGCUAACUACGUGCCAGCAGCCGCGGUAAUGAUGUAGGGUGCAAGCGUUAACGGAAUUACUGGGCGUAAAGCGUGGCAAGGCGGUUCGGAAAGAAAGACAAAUCCCAGAGCUAACUUUGGAACCGCAUUUUUAACUAUACCUGAGCUAGGAGUGUGUCAGGGAGGGAGGUGGAAUUCGCGUAGUAGUGAAAUGCGCAGAUAUGCGGAGGAACACCGAUGGCGAAGGCAGCCUCCUGGGAUAAAUACUGACGCUCAUGCACGAAAGCGGAGCAAACAGGAUUAGAUACCCUGGUAGUCCACGCCCUAAACGAUGUCAACUAGCUUGCCGGGGCCUUCGGGCCUUGCGGCGCAGCUAACGCGUGAAGUUGACCGCCUGGGGAGUACGGUCGCAAGAUUAAAACUCAAAGGAAUUGACGGGGACCCGCACAAGCGGUGGAUGAUGUGGAUUAAUUCGAUGCAACGCGAAAAACCUUACCUACCCUUGACAUGUCUGGAAUCCCGAAGAGAUUUGGGAGUGCUCGCAAGAGAACCGGAACACAGGUGCUGCAUGGCUGUCGUCAGCUCGUGUCGUGAGAUGUUGGGUAAGUCCCGCAACGAGCAACCCUGUCAUUAGUUACACAAAAGGGCACUCCAAUGAGACUGCCGGUGACAAACCGGAGGAAGGUGGGGAUGACGUCAAGUCCUCAUGGCCCUUAUGGGCAGGGCUUCAAGCACGUCAUACAAUGGUCGGGACAGAGGGUCGCCAACCCGCGAGGGAAGCCAUCCCAGAACCCGAUCGUAGUCCGGAUCGCAGUCUGCAACUCGACUGCGUGAAGUCGGAAUCACAUAGUAAUCGCGGAUCAGCAUGUCGCGGGGUGAAUACGUUCCCGGGUCUUGUACACACCGCCCGUCACACCAUGGGAGUGGGUUUUACCAGAAGUAGUUAGCCUAACCGUAAGGAGGGUUGAUUGUCACGGUAGGAUUCAUGACUGGGGUGAAGUCAGAAUAAGGUAG
rnacentral:rRNA from 1 species